CUGAAUCUCAACUUUGUGUAAUACUUUUUAUAUUUUAUUUCAAUUACAGGGAUAUCCAGGACCACCUGGAGACCCAGGGCCCAUAGGUCCUCUUGGAUUACCUGGUCAUGUAGGAACAAGAGGACUACCUGGGCUACAGGGUCCAAAGGGACGAAGGGUAA
rnacentral:lncRNA from 1 species